GCUGGGUGUGGUGUCACACGCCUGUAAUCCCAGCAACUCAGGAGGCUGAGGCUGGAGGAUCAAAAGUUCAAAGCCAUCCUCAA
rnacentral:sRNA from 1 species